UGCAAGUCGAGCGGAAAGGCCCUUCGGGGUACUCGAGCGGCGAACGGGUGAGUAACACGUGAGUAACCUGCCCUAGGCUUUGGGAUAACCCUCGGAAACGGGGGCUAAUACCGAAUAUUCAUUUCCGGCGGCAUCGUUGGUUGUGGAAAGUUUUUCGGCCUGGGAUGGGCUCGCGGCCUAUCAGCUUGUUGGUGGGGUGAUGGCCUACCAAGGCGACGACGGGUAGCCGGCCUGAGAGGGUGUCCGGCCACACUGGGACUGAGAUACGGCCCAGACUCCUACGGGAGGCAGCAGUGGGGAAUAUUGCACAAUGGGCGCAAGCCUGAUGCAGCGACGCCGCGUGGGGGAUGACGGCCUUCGGGUUGUAAACCUCUUUCAGCACAGACGAAGCGCAAGUGACGGUAUGUGCAGAAGAAGCACCGGCCAACUACGUGCCAGCAGCCGCGGUAAUACGUAGGGUGCGAGCGUUGUCCGGAAUUACUGGGCGUAAAGAGCUCGUAGGUGGUUUGUCGCGUUGUUCGUGAAAACUCACAACUCAAUUGUGGGCGUGCGGGCGAUACGGGCAGACUGGAGUACUGCAGGGGAGACUGGAAUUCCUGGUGUAGCGGUGGAAUGCGCAGAUAUCAGGAGGAACACCGGUGGCGAAGGCGGGUCUCUGGGCAGUAACUGACGCUGAGGAGCGAAAGCGUGGGGAGCGAACAGGAUUAGAUACCCUGGUAGUCCACGCCGUAAACGGUGGGUACUAGGUGUGGGUUUCCUUCCUUGGGAUCCGUGCCGUAGCUAACGCAUUAAGUACCCCGCCUGGGGAGUACGGCCGCAAGGCUAAAACUCAAAGAAAUU
rnacentral:rRNA from 1 species